UUAUAUGAUGAAUAAGAGCAUUUGCUCGAAUAUAACCCAGCUCGUCGAACACCUCGUUUUUUAAUUCUCACGUUGAGGUUGUCUUGAGAUAAAAACUCGUCUGAAAUA
rfam:Penicillium marneffei ATCC 18224 scf_1105668340738 genomic scaffold, whole genome shotgun sequence.